GACGGAGGAGGCAAGCGUUAUCCGGAAUCAUUGGGCGUAAAGGGUACGUAGGCGGCUGGUCGAGUCUGGGGUCAAAGGCCACAGCUCAACUGUGGGAAGGCCCUGGAAACUGACCGGCUAGAGUGAGGUAGGGGUUGCGGGAAUUCCCGGUGUAGCGGUGAGAUGCGUAGAGAUCGGGAAGAACACCUGAGGCGGAAGCGCGCAACUGGGCCUCAACUGACGCUGAGGUACGAAAGCUAGGGGAGCGAAUGGG
rnacentral:rRNA from 1 species